rnacentral:tRNA from 1 species
GGGGAUGUAGCUCAGUGGUAGAGCACUUGCCUAGCAAGCACAAAGCUCUGGGUUCAAUCUCCGGCACUGCAA